AAGGGCACCACAAGAACGCGUGCGCAGCAUGUGGCUUAAUUUGACUCAACCCGGGAAAUCUUACCAGGUCCAGACAUAUUGAGGAUUGACAGGCGAUAGUAUAUAAAAUAUAUUUUUAUAUGCAUAAAAAUGAUAGUCCUUUCAUGAUUAUAUGAUAGGUGGUGCAUGGCCGUUCUUAGUUCGUGGAGUGAUUUGUCUGCUUAAUUGCGUUUCAGUAAAUAAAAUAUAUAAUAUAUUAUAAUAUUUAGUUCUGCCAUUUAUUUAUGGAUUUAAAGUGAACAUAUUAUAUAUAUUAUUAUAUAAUAAAUGAAUGCAACGAACGUGACCGUAACCUUUUAUUGCUAUUGAAAAUUAUAAUUAUAGCAUAAAAUUAAAGGAACCGCUGUCAUUACUAAAUAUGUGUUAAAAUAGAGUAAGAUUAUGGCAAUAACAGGUCUGUGAUGCCCUCAGAUGUUCUGGGCUGCACACGUGCUACAAUAAUUACAUUAAUAAGUAUAUAUACUUUAUAAUAUAUAAUAUUAUAUUACAACCUAUUUCGAAAGUAAAUCGGUAAUCAUUUAAAAAUCGUGAUUAAUUAAUAUAAAUAUAAUUAAUUUAAGGUGGGGAUAGUGUAUUGUUAAUUAUUACACUUGGCCUUAACUAGGAAUGCCUUGUACUCUUCUUUGGUUUAACAUACCAAGAGGAAUACGUCCCUGCCCUUUGUACACACCGCCCGUCGCUCUUACCGAUGAAUUAUAUUAUAAAUCUAAGGGAUUUAUUAUAAUUAAAAUAUAAAAAACUUAUAUACAUAAUGUGAUUUAAAGGAAAGAGAAGUCGAACAAGGCA
rnacentral:rRNA from 1 species